rnacentral:misc_RNA from 1 species
GAUGAAGAACGUAGCGAAAUGCGAUAAGUAGUGUGAAUUGCAGAAUUCAGUGAAUCAUCGAAUCUUUGAACGCACAUUGCGCCCCUUGGUAUUCCAUGGGGCAUGCCUGUUCGAGCGUCAUUUGUACCUUCAAGCUCUGCUUGGUGUUGGGUGUUUGUCUCGCCUCUGCGUGUAGACUCGCCUCAAAACAAUUGGCAGCCGGCGUAUUGAUUUCGGAGCGCAGUACAUCUCGCGCUUUGCACUCAUAACGACGACGUCCAAAAGUACAUUUUUACACUCUUGACCUCGGAUCAGGUAGGGAUACCCGCUGAACUUAAGCAUAUCAAUAAGCGGUGGA